rnacentral:snRNA from 1 species
GGAUGUGAGGGCGACCUGGCUAUAACAUCUGUCUCCCCCAUUGUUCUCCAGGGUGGAUUCAGCUGAUCUGGCUGGCUAGGCAGGUAUCCCCUUCCUCCCUCACUGCUCCAUGUGCAUCCCUCCUGAAGCUGCACGCUGGGUCGAACAGGAUGACCUUCCCCAAUAGAGGAGGACCAUUCUUCUGUCAAAGGUAUACGAGUAGUUGAACUGCCCUGCUAAAAGCUACAAACAAGCUCUGAAGUCAUGUGAUUCUAAAACAUCAAUUCACUGAGAAAUCAAAUACUAAAAUAAAGUUA